rnacentral:misc_RNA from 1 species
GCUGAUUCAUCAUCUCCAUGACCUAUAAUAUCACCAAAUUACUUCAAUUUCUGCCAGAAAAAUUCUUAUGAAAUGCUAUUGUAAAACUUAUAAGAUAAAGAAGGGAAUUUGUGUGUAUCCAGCUAUUCACUUCAUAAUUCUUCAAAAGCCGGAACCUCAUACUAAAAAGAGAAAAAGAGAAUCAUUAGGGUAGAUUACGACUUUGUAGCACAACAUGUGAUAUAAACUCCUUUCAGCACAAAAUGUCUAAAUAAGUUUCUGAGGUGUAACUACAGGAGACCACAGGGUGAAAACUGAAGUCUAAAACCAAUUGUUCCAUCGUUGUCAUAGUAAGCUUGAUUUUUCUUUGCAAAGGGAAAAUAGAGAUCCAGCAGAUGUGCACAGAACAUUCACAUACUGCAAUCAAGUAAUAUAUCAAAACAGAUUCCUGGGGCAUGUCUAAGCAAAUUCCAUAUAGAAUGGCUUUAAUAUCAUUCUGUGACAAACAGCAGUGACCAUCCACUGAAGAGUCUAUGCCAGGCAGCACUACAUUCAUCUUUUUCCCAGUUCAGCAAAAUUCAGUCAUUUAAGAGCAGGGAACAGUAAGUCAAAUAACAGUUUACCAUUGGUUAAAAAUAAAAUAAAAUAAAAU